GACGAACGCUGGCGGCGUGCUUAACACAUGCAAGUCGAACGGAAAGGCCCUGCUUUUGUGGGGUGCUCGAGUGGCGAACGGGUGAGUAACACGUGAGUAACCUGCCCUUGACUUUCGGAUAACUUCACGAAACUGGGGCUCAUACCGGAUAGGAGCUCCUGCUGCAUGGUGGUGGUUGGAAAGUUUCGGCGGUUGGGGAUGGACUCGCGGCUUAUCAGCUUGUUGGUGGGGUAGUGGCUUACCAAGGCUUUGACGGGUAGCCGGCCUGAGAGGGUGACCGGCCACAUUGGGACUGAGAUACGGCGCAGACUCCUACGGGAGGCAGCAGUGGGGAAUAUUGCACAAUGGGCGGAAGCCUGAGGCAGCAACGCCGCGUGCGGGAUGACGGCCUUCGGGUUGUAAACCGCUUUCGCAUGUGACGAAGCGGGAGUGACGGUAAUGGGUAAAGAAGCACCGGCUAACUACGUG
rnacentral:rRNA from 1 species